AACGAACGCUGGCGGCAGGCCUAACACAUGCAAGUCGAACGCUGUAGCAAUACAGAGUGGCAGACGGGUGAGUAACACGUGGGAAUCUUCCUAUCGGUACGGAAUAGCUCAGGGAAACUUGAGGUAAUACCGCAUACGCUCUUCGGGGGAAAGAUUUAUCGCCGAUAGAUGAGCCCGCGUCUGAUUAGCUAGUUGGUGAGGUAAUGGCUCACCAAGGGGCGGAUCAGUGGCUGGGCUGAGAGGAUGACCAGCCACACUGCGUCUGGGACACGGCCAAGACUCCUAUGGGAGGCAGCAGUGGGGAAUAGUGGACAGUGGGGGCAAGUCUGAUCCAGCCAUGCCGGGUGAGUGACGAAGGUCGUAGGAAUGUAAAGCUGUUUUGCCAGGGACGAUAAUGACGGUACCAGGAGAAUAAGCACCGGCUAACUUCGUGCCAGCCGCCGCAGUAA
rnacentral:rRNA from 1 species